rnacentral:rRNA from 1 species
AACGAACGCUGGCGGCAUGCCUAACACAUGCAAGUCGAACGAGACCUUCGGGCCUAGUGGCGCACGGGUGCGUAACGCGUGGGAACCUGCCCUUAGGUUCGGAAUAACUCCCCGAAAGGGGUGCUAAUACCGGAUAAUGUCUUCGGACCAAAGAUUUAUCGCCUUUGGAUGGGCCCGCGUUGGAUUAGCUAGUUGGUAGGGUAAAAGCCUACCAAGGCGACGAUCCAUAGCUGGUCUGAGAGGAUGAUCAGCCACACUGGGACUGAGACACGGCCCAGACUCCUACGGGAGGCAGCAGUGGGGAGUAUUGGACAAUGGGCGAAAGCCUGAUCCAGCAAUGCCGCGUGAGUGAUGAAGGCCUUAGGGUUGUAAAGCUCUUUUACCCGGGAUGAUAAUGACAGUACCGGGAGAAUAAGCUCCGGCUAACUCCGUG